AUGCAGCCGCAACAAAUAUACGACUUUUCCAGCGACGAAAACAGUCACAAAUGGAGAGGCCUCUUCGUACAAGCGCUGCGAAAGGUGCAGCUCCAGGUCCACCCGAACCUCUCGGCCAAGGAGGACGCUCUGCAGCACAUCGAGGAGCUGAUCCUGCAGCUCCUCAACAUGCUGUGCGUGGCACAGCCGCGCACCGUGCAGGACGUGGAGGAGCGUGUGCAGAAGACCUUUCCCCACCCCAUCGACAAGUGGGCCAUCGCCGACGCCCAGUCUGCCAUAGAGAAACGCAAGAGGAGGAACCCCCUCCUCCUGCCCGUGGAUAAGAUUCACCCACUGCUGAAGGAGGUCCUGGGUUAUAAGAUUGACUACCACGUGUCCCUGUACAUCGUGGCCGUGCUGGAGUACAUCUCGGCCGACAUCCUCAAACUGGCGGGGAACUACGUGGGGAACAUCCGCCACUACGAGAUCACCCAGCAGGACAUCAAAGUGUCCAUGUGCGCCGACAAGGUGCUGAUGGACAUGUUCGACCAGGACGAGGACAUCGGCCUGGUGUCCCAGUGCGGGGACGAGCCGUCGGCCUCCGGGGAGCUGACCUACGACGACCUGGUGCGUCUGGAGAUCGCCGAGGAGCGGCAGUACCUGCGGGAGCUGGACCUCAUCAUCAAAGUGUUCCGCGAGGCCUUCCUGUUCAACGGCAAGCUCUUCACCGCCCACGACGUGGAGGUGAUCUUCAGCAACAUCCUGGACAUUCACGAGCUGACGGUGAAGCUGCUGGGGCUGAUCGAGGACGCGGUGGAGAUGACGGCGGACGGGAGUCCUCACCCGCUGGUGGGCAGCUGCUUCGAGGACCUGGCCGAGGAGCAAGCCUUCGACCCCUACGAGACCCUGUCCCAGGACAUCCUCUCCCGGCAGUUCCAGGAGCAUUUCAACAGCCUAAUGGCCCGUCCCUCCGUGGCCCUGCACUUCCAGUCCUUCGCUGAAGGCUUCAUGGAGGCUGUACAGUACGUCCUGCCACAGCUCAUGAUGGUUCCUGUCUACCACUGCUUGCACUACUUUGACCUGCUGCAGCAACUGCAGGAGCGCAGCCAGGACGAGGACGACCGGGAGUGUCUGAAACAGGCCAUCACAGCCCUGCUGAACCUGCAGUGCAGCGUGGAACGCAUCUACUGCAAGCACCUGCCACGCCGCAAGCCAGGGGAGCCCAUGUACCGCCUGUACAGCCGGCAGGUGCGGAGCAAGCAGCUGGCAAUCAAGCGCAUGAACGAGAUCCAGAAGAGCAUCGACGGCUGGGAGGGCAAGGACAUCGGCCAGUGCUGCAGCGAGUUCAUCCUGGAGGGGGCGCUGUGCCGGGCCGGCGCCAAGCACGAGCGCCACAACUUCCUGUUCGACGGGCUGAUGAUCAGCUGCAAGGCCAACCAGAGCUCGCGGCUGCCGGGGGCGGGCAGCGGGGCGGAGUUCCGGCUCAAGGAGAAGUUCGUCCUGCGCAAGGUGCGCAUCUCGGACCGCGAGGACACGCCGGAGCUGCGGCACGCCUUCGAGGUGGCGGAGCGGGAGGAGACCUGCGUCUUCUACGCCAAGUCGGCGGAGGAGAAGAGCGCGUGGAUGGCGGCGCUGGUGACGCUGCAGUACCGCUCCACGCUGGACCGCAUGCUGGACACGGUGCUGCAGCACGAGGAGCAGGCGCAGCCGCUGCGGCUGCCCGCGCCGGAGGUCUACCGCUUCGCCGUGCAGGACUCCGAGGAGAACAUCGUCUUCGAGGACCGCGUGCAGAGCAAGACCGGCAUCCCCAUCAUCAAGGCCGGCACCGUGGCCAAGCUCAUCGAGAGGCUCACCUACCACAUGUAUGCAGAUCCCAACUUCGUACGCACUUUUCUGACCACGUAUCGCUCCUUCUGUAAGCCACAAGAACUCCUGAGCCUGCUGAUCGACAGGAUUGAGAUCCCCGAGCCUGAGCCCACGGAGGCGGACCAGCAGGCCCUGUGGAACGGGGAUCAGCCAAUGGCAGCGGAGCUCCAGAGGUUCCGCAGGGAGUACGUGCAGCCAGUCCAGCUCAGGGUGCUCAACGUGUUCCGGCAGUGGGUCGAACAUCAUUUCUACGACUUUGAGAACGACCCCGAGCUGCGCAUCAGGCUGGAGGAGUACAUCACCGGCAUCAUCCAGCUGAGAGGCAAGUCGAUGAGGAAGUGGGUGGAGUCCAUCAACAAGAUCAUCAAGCGCAAGAUGCAGACGCAGUCGAACGGCGUGAGCCACAACAUCACCUUCGAGAGCCCGCCCCCGCCGAUAGAGUGGCACAUCAGCCGGGCGGGGCAGGUCAACACCUUCGACCUCAUGACCCUUCACCCCAUCGAGAUCGCCCGCCAGCUCACGCUGCUGGAGUCGGAGCUCUACAGGGCGGUCAGGCCCUCUGAGCUGGUGGGGAGCGUCUGGACGAAGGAGGACAAGGAGAAGAACUCGCCCAACCUGCUCCGCAUGAUCCGCCACACCACCAACCUGACGCUGUGGUUCGAGAAGUGCAUCGUGGAGGCGCAGAACCUGGAGGAGAGGGUGGCGGUGCUGGGCCGCAUCAUCGAGAUCCUGCAGGUGUUCCAGGAGCUCAACAACUUCAACGGCGUGCUGGAGAUCGUCAGCGCCAUCAACUCCGUGCCCGUCUACAGGCUCGAUCACACCAUCGAGGCCGUGCCGGAGAGGAGGAGGAAAGUUCUGGAAGAAGCCGUGGAGCUCAGCCAGGACCACUUUAAGAAGUACUUGGCGAAGCUCAAGUCCAUAAACCCACCUUGUGUGCCUUUCUUUGGUAUCUAUCUCACCAACAUCCUGAAGACGGAGGAGGGGAACCCCGACUUCCUCAAGCGCCACGGGAAGGAGCUGAUCAACUUCAGCAAGCGGCGGAAAGUGGCCGAGAUCACGGGCGAGAUCCAGCAGUACCAGAACCAGCCCUACUGCCUGCGGACCGAGCCCGACAUCAAGAGGUUCUUCGAAAACCUGAACCCCAUGGGUAACAUGAGCGAGAAGGAGUUCUCCGACUACCUGUUCAACAAGUCCCUGGAGAUCGAGCCUCGGAACUGCAAGCAGCCUCCCAGAUUUCCCCGGAAGACUCCGUUCCCCCUGAAGUCGCCGGGGAUCCGGCCGGUGCGACACACCUCUACCUCAGGCACCCUGAAAGGCCACCCCGUCCCGCUGGAGAGGGAGCCCCCCCACAAGAUAACCUUCCGCAGCAUCGCCGAGACCGAGCCGGACAUGGCCCCCUCUGUGCCCACCUCCCCAAACACGCCCACCCCGCCCCCGUCCGCCUCCUCCGACCUCUCCGUGUUCAUGGAGCCUGAUCUCAACAGCUCCUACGGUAGCUCCGCCUUCGCCACAGUUCUGCUGCCGCAUUCGAAGUUCCAGUCCAUCUCGUGUGGGAGUCUCCACCAUCUGGGCGAGGAGCUCCUCAAACCCCCCCCACUCCCCCCACGCAGGAAAGACGCCAUGUCUGAAUGCAAGUUGAGCUGCAGGUCGGACAGUCCUCCAGCAGUCCCCCCCAGACUGCCCCCGUCCCAGCCCAGGAUCCAGCCCCGAGUGCCCGUCUACAACGGGCCUCCCGAGGGUCCCCUCCCGAGCCCCCCGCCCCCGCCGCCCCGGGACCCGGUGCCGGACACCCCGCCCCCCGUGCCCCAGCGCCCGCCCGAGAUCUUCAUCAACUAUCCCCUGCAGGCCUCCCCCGGAAACCGGCACCACUGGGAUUUCGGGAGCUCGCCCAACUCCCCCAACACACCGCCGGGCACGCCGUCGCCCCGGGUGACCCGCCGCUGCCCCUCCAGCGCCAGCCAGAACAGCCUCUGCCAGCUCCCCGCCCUCACCGCCGCACCCCCCGUCCCGCCCCGCCACAACUCCAGCUCCCAGCUCCCCAAACUCCCGCCAAAGACCUACAAGAGGGAGCUUUCACAGCCGCCACCACCACCACAUAGCCUCUCAUUGGUCAACAUGGACGGCAACCACUGAGACCCCAGCCAAUGAACUCAUUUCUUUUAUCUUGGUUUUUUUUUUUUUUUCUCCCUCCUCAUGAACAAGCUCCACCCCUUCCCACUGCUCUCUGGCACUCCAGUGACCACGUGGAUUGAAUUAGAAAUAAAACUUUUACUGUAAACGAUGGCCUUUUAAAGCUCUUAGUCACAGAAGUAUGGAGACCCUUUUUUUUUUUUUUUUUUUUUUAAAGCUACUGAUCAGAAAUAAGACUGUGCUCCACUCUGCACUCCACCUGUCCAUCUGCAGCAUUGACCAAUCACGGCUGGCCUCUCAGGGGAUCAGUAGCUCCGCCUUCACUUUAAGCCCUCUGUGCCAAUAGCACCACACCUGUGUGCCAGUCACCGCUGCGCAUCGCGUUGGGAGCUCCGAGAUACCGGGCCGUUGCCAAGACGACGUGCAGUUCACUGUGUGAGGAGAAACUUCACUGUUAACCCGAACCCCUGCAUUGAGGCCAUCGCCACCGGCUGUGCGUUUCUCACCACGCGGUCCGUUUUCUACUUGAUGAGCCAGCGUCCCCGGCGAGAGGUGGCCAAAGUCUUACUGAAACUCCCUGAGGAACUGAGGAACAGACAGUAGGUUUUAUUGAGGCGUUCCCCGGUUUCAUUUCUGAUUUUGCACAUUCAGACUGCGUCAGCGGACGGACACUCGCACGUUGCCGUGCUCCGCCAAGCCCCCGGCGACGGGACAGCGCUCGGGUGGGACCCUGCCUGUACCGCCUGCCCCUCUGCAGUAGUGGCCUUUAACCCACAGCAGUGACCUUUGAACCCUGAGCCAGUGCACCAUGACGACUGUCAGAGAAACACUGAGCGCCCGGGGCAUUGUAAUGGAUGCCAGAGACCCGGCGAGGAUGAUCUCUCAGACCAGGCCGCGACAGCUCACAGACUCCUUAAAGCCAAGAUGAUGAUGUCUUAAACACACACACACACACACACACACACACAUUGUCUGCUGCUGUCUAACACUACAGAUGUCUCAGUAUCACUCCUGGCGAUCACUGAACACUACACCCUCCCCCCCAGCCCCCACCCCACCCCCUGUGAUAUAAAAAGGAAUAUGGAACAAAUCACUAGUUCUGAAGACUGGAUUUUUGGAAGAAGGGGAAUCUUCUAACCCGAGUGUGGUUUUCCUCAAUGAAAUAAGGGGAUUUUUAUUUUAAUGGACAGAGAACUCAUGCAUCAUAUUCAGAUGUGCCUUUUUAUUUUGUUUUCUAUUUUACAGAGUAAGUGUGAAAGGUCUCCAAAAUGCUUAAGAAAAGAAAUCAGUUGCCUAUAUAAAUGCUGAGAACAAAGCUACACAUACAAAUGUACAGGUUUGUGGAUAAUGUGUAUAUAGCAUCUAUACACUAACUAAGUAAUCUGUAUAAAGUGGCUUCUAUGUCUGUUGUAUAAUGCCUCCCCCCCUCCCCAUCUGCCUCUUGAUAUUUCAAAGAUGUUUCCUAUUUAGCAAUCCAAUGCUGCUACAGUGUUAGGAGCACAGUACUGUGUGUCACAAAUUCCUCUAUUGACAAUCCCCGCUACAGAUGAUGUUACCAAGCAGGUGGCCGAGCAGUGUGGGAAAAGACUGUCCCGUUUCCCCCAACACUUUCAUCAGUCCUUCUGUUUAAGGGGGCAGGGUUUCUGUGUUUUUGUGGGAGGUACAGAACCGAACCGAUUUGACACUGUGGCCCAACAUUCAGUGUUGGGAAUGUUCUAGAACCCAACGGUGUGCAUUUUUGUGUAUUCCCCAACAUUCUAGGUGGGGAAUGUUCUAGAACCCGCUGGCAUGUAUUCCUGUGUAUUCCCCAACAUUCUGAGUGGGGGGAUGUUCUAGAACCCAUCGGCGUGUGUUCCUGUGUAUUCCCCCAACAUUCUGGGUGGGGGAUGUUCUAGAACCCGCUGGCGUGUAUUCCUGUGUAUUCCCCAACAUUCUGAGUGGGGGGAUGUUCUAGAACCCACUGGCGUGUAUUCCUGUGUAUUCCCCAACAUUCUGAGUGGGGGAUGUUCUAGAACUCGCCGGCUUGUAUUCCUGUGUAUUCCCCAACAUUCUGAGUGGGGGGAUGUUCUAGAACCCGCUGGUAUGUAUUCCCCAACAUUCUGAGUGAGGGGAUGUUCUAGAACCCGCUGGCGUGUACUCCUGGGCUGCUCAGAUAUGCCAGUGUUGGGGAGCAGAGGCUCCUCCCACCCCCAGGACCUCCUCCAGUGACCGCUGUUAUGACAUCACUCAGCAUCACGCCUCACACGGUGGCCUUCAGGAAGCGAUGCCUUUUCUUCAGCUGAAUCCGUGAUGCAGCUCCACAGUUUACUGUACGUCAAGGGUUUCAGACGGGGCCUCCAGCUCCGAAACCCCCACGGUAUGACCUGACAUGAACCCAAUACAGACGUACGUGCCUGCCUCCCCGCGGAACUUUCCGGAUCCGAACCCUGGUCGGACUGUAGCAGCCUUUUGUUGUCCUGCAGCAGAUGUCACACAUGAUUCAUUUGAUGGUCUUUGACCUUUUAACUGUGCUUUGUAUUAAUGUUCUUAAUGAGAUUAAUAAAUCACCCCAGUCUUA